rnacentral:rRNA from 1 species
GAUGAACGCUGGCGGCGUGCCUAAUACAUGCAAGUCGAGCGAACAGACGAGGAGCUUGCUCCUCUGACGUUAGCGGCGGACGGGUGAGUAACACGUGGAUAACCUACCUAUAAGACUGGGAUAACUUCGGGAAACCGGAGCUAAUACCGGAUAAUAUAUUGAACCGCAUGGUUCAAUAGCGAAAGACGGUUUUGCUGUCACUUAUAGAUGGAUCCGCGCCGCAUUAGCUAGUUGGUAAGGUAACGGCUUACCAAGGCAACGAUGCGUAGCCGACCUGAGAGGGUGAUCGGCCACACUGGAACUGAGACACGGUCCAGACUCCUACGGGAGGCAGCAGUAGGGAAUCUUCCGCAAUGGGCGAAAGCCUGACGGAGCAACGCCGCGUGAGUGAUGAAGGUCUUCGGAUCGUAAAACUCUGUUAUUAGGGAAGAACAAAUGUGUAAGUAACUAUGCACGUCUUGACGGUACCUAAUCAGAAAGCCACGGCUAACUACGU